UAGGGAAUUGUUCGCAAUGGGCGCAAGCCUGACGACGCAACGCCGCGUGAGUGACAAAGGCCUUAGGGUUGUAAAACUCUUUCGUCGGGGACGAUAAUGACGGUACCCGAAGAAGAAGCUCCGGCUAACUUCGUGCCAGCAGCCGCGGUAAUACGAAGGGAGCUAGCGUUGUUCGGAAUCACUGGGCGUAAAGCGCACGUAGGCGGAUAGUUAAGUCAGGGGUGAAAUCCUGGGGCUCAACCCCAGAACUGCCUUUGAUACUGGCUGUCUCGAGGUCGAGAGAGGUUGGUGGAAUUCCUAGUGUAGAGGUGAAAUUCGUAGAUAUUAGGAAGAACACCAGUGGCGAAGGCGGCCAACUGGCUCGAUACUGACGCUGAGGUGCGAAAGCGUGGGGAGCAAACAGGAUUAGAUACCCAAGUAGUCCCUGAGCGGGCUGGCAAGGCGCAU
rnacentral:rRNA from 1 species